GACGAACGCUGGCGGCGUGCCUAAUACAUGCAAGUCGAGCGGACUGAUUAAGAGCUUGCUCUUAUGACGUUAGCGGCGGACGGGUGAGUAACACGUGGGCAACCUGCCCUGUAGAUCGGGAUAACACCGAGAAAUCGGUGCUAAUACCGGGUAAUAUCUGAGAUCACAUGAUCUUAGGUUAAAAGAUGGCUCCGGCUAUCACUACAGGAUGGGCCCGCGGCGCAUUAGCUAGUUGGUAAGGUAAUGGCUUACCAAGGCGACGAUGCGUAGCCGACCUGAGAGGGUGAUCGGCCACACUGGGACUGAGACACGGCCCAGACUCCUACGGGAGGCAGCAGUAGGGAAUCUUCCGCAAUGGACGAAAGUCUGACGGAGCAACGCCGCGUGAGUGAUGAAGGGUUUCGGCUCGUAAAGCUCUGUUGUUAGGGAAGAAACAGUACCGAACGAACUAGGUCGGUACCUUGACGGUACCUAACCAGAAAGCCACGGCUAGCUACGUG
rnacentral:rRNA from 1 species